rnacentral:piRNA from 1 species
UGAGAAGGAGCUAGUCCACACACCUGAUC